CUUGGAUGCCAUCCAGAAUAACCUGGACAGAGCUCUGGGCCAGCCAUAGAGGAGGCGCUGCCUGGCCACGGGGUGGACCAGCCCUGGCCCUCAGACCCUCCCCACAUGUGUUAGGGCUGAGCCUCACAGCCCCACUCUUUGGAGGCCUUUCUAGGGGACAAUUGGUUUGUAAUGAGAUGUUUUCGAAAUACGAGUGCCUUCCACCCCUCCUCCCGGUGUGCUUUACCUCAGCUGGUCAGUGUGCUCCACACUGUCAUUUUUACUGCCUUGAACACAUGGGGUCCUAUGUAGCUACUAAAAAGCUCUU